GCCGGUGUAGCUUAACUAAAAGCAUGGCACUGAAAAUGCUAAGAUGGGCCCUAAUAAGCCCCACAAGCA
rnacentral:tRNA from 1 species